UCUACUUAAUUCUUUAAUUACGCAAUUAUUCUCUUAAUUACAUAAUUAGUCUUUUAAUUAUUUCUUAAUUUAGUUAAUUACAUAAUUAGUCUAUUAAUUAUUUAUUUAUUUCUUAAUUCUAUUAUUAUUACAAUAUUAUCAAUCAUGUCUUCAUUUUUGAAACAAGCCUCAAAAAAAGUUACUAAAGUGGCAAAAUCAUUGGGAGGUUCCAGCUCCUCCAAAAGAAAGGCCACUUCUACUCCGUCGGUAUCAACAACACCUUCGAUUAGUAAUUAUAAUUAUGAACCAAAUUAUCCAGAAGGGUACGACCCAGAAUUACAUAAUUAUGCAGAAGAAGUGGAAAGAGAAAUACAAAUUGAUGAAGAAGAAGAACAAGAAGAGUAACCAACGACCCCUGUUGGGAUACAUGUAUCUCGACAGUCAUCAACAAGAUCACAUGAAGAACAACUACAAGAACAACAACAAAGACAAGCUCGUGGUAAACGAGUCAAUUUCCAAACUAUCGAUGAAGAUGAACCAGUAAGACAACCUUUUCCGGCAAUGCCACCUCCUGGUGGUAGAGCUGUUUCACAUGUGUGGUCGUAUUUUACAAAAGAACCAACCGACAAUCCAGAUGUUUUCUUAUGCACUUGUCAAAUUUGUGAAAGUCAAGGAGUAAAGCCCUUAGUUGCAUACAGUUUCGCCAGAGGUGGUGGUACGGGAUCUUUUAACAAACAUUUGGCAAAGAAGCAUGGAAUCACAAAAGAAACUCAUGCAGCAAGCGGCAGCGGGACCACAAGUGGAAGCCGACAGUAGGACAUUCCCAGCACAGGUAUGCCUUUUAAAUAUAAUCGUAAUGAUAUGAUUGAUGAAUUUUCUAAGUAUGUAAUUUGUGAUGAAUUGCCUUUUAACCACGUUGAAAGUAGGGCACACGAGCGUUUCACUAGAAAAACUUUGCAACCACAACAUAGAGCAAUCCCUAGGAGCACUCUUAAAACACGCACAAUUAAAUUAUAUGAAUCAAUGCGCUAUGAAUUAGUUGAAAUGUUUAAAUCUUUUAAUGGUAGAAUUAGCAUAACAACUGACAUUUGGUCUGCUCCCCCACAUUUAGAAUCUUAUAUGUGUGUAACAGUACAUUGGAUAGAUCAAAAUUGGAUUAUUCAAAAAAGAAUAAUUGCUUUUGAGACAAUGCCAGAAAGACAUACCGGUGAAAACAUAAAAUAUAGAUUAGUAGAGAUAUGUAGAGAAUGGAACUUAUUAGAUAAGAUAUUAUGUUAGUCUACUAAUAAUGCAACCGCUAACAUUAAAUGUAUAGAACUUUUGUUUAACAAACCUGCAUUUAGUUUUAUCCUUGGGGGUAGCAUAUUACACAUACGUUGUUGUGCGCAUAUAGUUAACUUAUCUUGCCAAGCAGGUAUAAAACAAUUAAGCGAUCUAUUAGGUCCAAUUAGAGAUAUAGUGAAGUGGCUUAGGAUUGGAAAGAUAAAGAGACGAUAUAAACAAUUAUGUGACCAAUAUCAACUAAAAAAGUGUAUUGGUCAUUAGAUACUCCUACACGUUGGGGCUCAACCAACGAUUUAUUAAGAAAGGCGAUUGCUUAUCGUCCAGUUAUAACACAACUGUAUAGUGAGUGUACAAAUAGCUAUAUAGUUGAUGACACUUGGGAAUUAGCUAUAGGUGUACAUAAAAUAUUAGAAGCGUAUGACCACGCAACUAAGAUUUUUUCAUAUGUUUAUGAACCGAACGUUCACUUAGUAAUAAGUGAGUGUAUUACUAUUUUUUAUCAUCUCUUUAAACAUACGCAUGAUGAUACUAACCCAUAUUUGAAGCCGAUUCUUGCAGAUAUGAUGGAAAAAUGGAAGACACAUUUUUCCGAUUUUCCUUAUAUUUAUGGAAUGGCAACCAUUUUAGACCCAUGUUUUAAAACUGAAGUCCUUACUAAAGUAAUAGGAUUUUACUACCAAUCGUUAGAUCGCCCGCCUACUGA